GACAGAGGAUGCAAACGUUGCUCGGAGUUACUGGGCGUAAAGCGCGUGUAGGUGGUUUGAUAAGUCGGGUGUGAAAUCCCGGGGCUCAACCUCGGAAGUGCACACGAUACUGUCGAACUCGAGUACUGGAGAGGAGAGCGGAAUUCCCGGUGUAGCGGUGAAAUGCGCAGAUAUCGGGAAGAACACCCGUGGCGAAGGCGGUUCUCUGGGACGGUACUGACGCUGAGACGCGAAAGCGUGGGGAGCGAACAGG
rnacentral:rRNA from 1 species